rnacentral:rRNA from 1 species
UACAGAGGGUGCAAGCGUUGUUCGGAAUUAUUGGGCGUAAAGGGAGUGUAGGCGGUUUGGUAAGUCUUCUGUGAAAUCUACGAGCUUAGCUUGUAACGUGCAGAGGAAACUACCGAGCUUGAGUGUCGGAGAGGAGUAGGGGAACUACCCAGUGUAGAGGUGAAAUUCGUAGAGAUUGGGUGGAACACCAGUGGCGAAGGCGCCUAUCUGGCUGACAACUGACGCUGAGACUCGAAAGCAUGGGGAGCAAACAGG